rnacentral:lncRNA from 9 species
CGCCACAGCCGAACCUGCUCCUGGGCUGCUUCCUGGGAUUUGGGGGAGUCUCUACGUUUUAUGAAAAUGGAGUUUGUGAAAGACGCCGUCCAGACACUGAAAGGUGGGACAUUUGAUGUCAGUCCCACCUCACCCCGGGUAAAACCAGUCUGAUAGAUGUUCAAAAGCGCGCUUCAAGGUAACAAGUCUCGCUUGUUGAGUAUUCUGCGUUAUACAAAAACAGGUUUUCCGAACCAACUUUAAUGUUCAAGGCCGUCGUCACCUAUUUCAGGCAACAUUUCCCAAGAACGACAAUUAUUCUAGCUUUUUAGGACCAGAAAGGUUUUUAAGCGGGAGUUAAAUCCUAUGAUUACAGUCGAGCUGGUUUCAUCCUCUCCUGUGGUUUCAAAUGAACAUGUAUAGAAAAUGACUGCCAAAUGGAACCCUCCUUUUAGAUGACUGUCACAGACUCCCGACCAGAUUCGUUUCUUUAUUUAAUCAGCGUUAAGAGCUAGGUGUCGUGCUAGGCACUGAGGAUUCGGCAGGGAGUGAGAAAACUCGGCAAGGCCCUCUUGGAAGAAGCGGUAAUAGCUAAUUGCCUGUUGUGACACCGCUGGCUGGAGAUCUGACACUCAAAGUUGAUGCCAAACUAAACGUAAAUCUCCGCCUUGCUCCUCCUGCAGUGCCUCUCAGGAAAGGCAGCACCGCCCACAAAAUUGCCCUAUUCCUCUGGUCCUCAUGGCUGAUCAGUCGCCAGGUCCUGUAAUUCCACCGCCUUAAAAGUUUUUCCAGGCGUUCCUGUUAUGGUUCAGCCGAUUAUGAACCCGACUAGUAUCCAUGAGGAUGUGGGUUUGACCCCUGGCCUCUUUCAGUGGGUUAAGUAUAGGGCCUUGCUGAGCUUUGGUGUAGGUGGCAUAUGUGGCCAGAAUCUCUUGAUUGGUGAUGUAGGUGGGCAGCUGCAGCUCUGAUUGGAUUCCUAGCCUGAGAACUUCCAUAUGCCUCAGGUGUGGCCCUAGAAAGCAAAAAAAAAAAAGUUCUCUCCAUUCUUGUGCCACCUCCUUAGCUCAGGUCCUCCUCAUUGCUUGUCUGCAUUACUGCAGGAAUGCUACCUGAUCUCCACUGCCACGCUUGUCUUUAUCCUCCAGACUGCUGCCAUUUCUUCUAUCAUUAAAGCUGUGUUGUAAUCAUCUCUAUAGGUUUCCUCUGUUACAAGAUGAACUUCAGAAUAUAGGGGUGGUGUCUUGUUUUUAUAUUCUGCAUACCUACCAUAGCAGUUCACCAAGUGUGGUUUCACAAUCCUGGGAUCUCCAGGACCCUUUCAGAGAGUCUGCAAACUCAAAGCUGUUUAUAAUAAUGCUGUUAUUUGGAGUUGCCACUGGUGCAAUCGGUCAGGGAUCAGUUGUUGUCUCCACAGCUUCUCUCUUUUGUGCAGUUUCCAUCCCUGAGGUCCAGGGCAGUGGGUUAAAGAUACACUUGCCACAACUCUGGUGUAGGCCGCAGUGGUGGCUCAGAUUCGACCCCCUAGCCAGGGAAUUUCCAUGUGCUUCAGGUAUGGGAGUGGAGGGGAGGGGGCAACCAACUAUUACUGGGUUCUUUACUGCUACCACAGCCUCAGCAAGGCGGGAUCCAAGCUGUGUCUGCAGCCUGCUCCGUAGCUCAUGGCAAUGCCUGAUUCCUGACCUAAGCGAGGUCAGGAAUCCAAUCCCCAUCCUCAUGGAUACUAGUCAGAUUCAUUUCUGCUGCGCCACAACGGGAGCUCCCCCAAAUAUUUUCUUGAAGUCAGCCCCAAAGUUAGCCUCUCCUUUCAGGGAAAACCACUGGCAGUAUUUGUUGUCACUGAUAAAAUUAAAGCUUUAAAAUAAAAACUAAAGAUUUUAGAAAUCUUAUAUCUACCACUGUGAACUUGACAACUUACUAAUUCUGAGACUUUUCUACAGAGGAAAAUGUGUUAACAAGUAGAGUUUGUAGAUUAAAAUGUGUCAAUAUACUGAGUCUUUUCAUAAUUAGAGGAGACAGUAUCUUCAAAUGACCAGUGCAUGAUGUUACAAAAUCAUGUGUGCGUGAAACAUCCAAAGUACAAUUUAGACCAGUCCAUUUUCGUAUAACAGAAUACAGAGAGUUCAUUGAUAUAGUUUCAGAUUCUACAUUACAACUAACUUUUAAGAUACAACCGCUUGUGAAGAAUAUCUGUGAUUAUCUGGGAAAGUUAGUAAAAUAUUCCUCACUUUCCAACUAUUCAUCUGUGUGAAGCCAUGUUAUCUUAAUGUACUUCAAUCAAAGCAAUAUAGAUAGAUUACACAAUAGAUUGAAUAAUGAAGCACAUGUGAAAAUUUAGCUCCCUUCUACUAAGCCAGGCAUUAAUGAGAUUGGCAAAAAUCUAAAACACUGCCACCUUUUUGUUUUUGAAAAUAUACCUGUGUUCAUAAAAAUGCAUUAUGUUAACAUGGUAUUGUUAUUUCUAAUAAAUUAACAUUUUCAUUUCUCUAAUUGUAGUACCAUAAAUUUUUAUAGAUAUAACCCAUAUUUUCUAAAGUUCUUUAGAGUUCUUAAUAAUUUUUAAGAUUGUGAAAAGAGUACUGAGACCAAAAAGUUUGAAAACUGCUGACCUAGGAUACAAUAUGUGUGAGAUUUUCAAUUUUUGUUCUCUGUGGAACCAGUUCCAUACCACCAGUACUACUUCCUUGUGAGAUCAUUUUAAAGAAAAAUCUAUUAUUCAUUAAAACUUGAAGGUAGUUCCAUUAUGUAACCACAGUUAUUGUUAUUUUAAUAUGAGUUUUCCAAGGUGAUGUUUCAGAAGCACAACAAAAUGAAAAGGGAGAUUUUUGGUUUACCAUGGAUUCACCCCUAUUAUGUUAUUAGUUGAGUGUGGUAAUUCAGCUUUUUCCUGUGCUGCCCAAACUUGUCAUCAGACCACUCUCUUGAUAUUGUUGAAAUUAAACUUGAUUCCUUAUUGUAACCAAAGAAUGUACAGAAAUGCUGAGUGGUAAAUGAAAUGUCUGUGAUCAAAGUUUCUUUCUUUAAAUAUUUUUAAUGUUUAUUUAAAAAAUAAGAUGCUUGAAUGAAAAUAAUCUAGGAUAAUUUCUUAAAACUUUUUUUCCCUUUCCGUAAUCUUCUGUUUAUGUAUUUUGGAGGGGGAGGAGGAUUGUAUUAAGAUGACCCCUGAAUUAGUAUAGAUUGCACCAUUUUUCCAAACAGCUCUUGCCCUCUCUGCUCAGCCUUGAGCCUCUCCUCACUUUCCCAUAAUUCCUUCAUAAGAUUGUGCUCUCUGACAUAAAGGAUGUUUCCCUUAAAAUUUAAAUUCCCUUAAAAUCCCACACACUACCGACAUAUGACUUUACCUUUACAACUUUACUGAAGGAUUAUUGAUAACAAAAUAAACUUUAAUACCCAUGAGAAAAAUUAAAACCAAAUGCUAAAUAUGACUAUUUCUAAAGUCAAAGGAAAAGAAUAAAUCAAUGAACAUUUCAUGGGGAUUGGGAGUUCUCUUCAUGGACACAGCAGUAUCUAGUUGUCCUGUUUAAAUUUACUUCUCUGUUUCUCUGUAAAGGAGCUUUCUUUAAUCCCUACUGUAAAAAAACAGCCUCCAUUUAGGAAAACUCUAACUCCUACCCACAGAGAUUAAUUUUACCCUAGGAAUCACAGCUCAACUCACACCCAAACUCCACCCCAGCCACAGUGAGGCAAUUCACAGGACACAGUUCCACAAAACAUUUCCAUAAGUCUGAGUUUCUUAGUACAAGGCAGUUGAGCAAAACUUUCCCAUUUGAUAUGUCUAAACUAGUGAGAAGUGAAAUGUAAAUCUUCAUUUCUCCUAUAGUUGUCUGGUAAGUUACUGGACCAAAUACACACUCCAAGGACAAACAUUUCUCAGCUCUGGGACAACGGAAGAGAAAGAUUUUUCUAAGCAUUUUCCUAAACACUUCUGGCUAAAUUUACACAAACUUCCCUGCUCUUAACUGAGUUGGUCAAUAUACAUGAUUAUACAGAGAGAAGUAGUUUCCCAUUGUUUAUACCAGCAUUAUUUGCAGUAGCUAAAACAUGGAAGCCUCUCAAAUGUUCAUCAGUGGAUAAUGAUUAAGCAAAAUGUGGUAUAUAGAUACAAUGGAAUAUUUUUCAGUCUUAAAAAGGAAGGAAAUUCUGCCCUUUCCUCGCCUGUGCUUGGUCCUUCUAAGGGAAAUAAGGCAGAGCUGGAGUGAAUCCCUCACUUCACUGGCCUAGCACUGCACCUUGCAGUGCCCUCAUCCUUAGCAUUCCCAGCAGAAUGCUUAGGAGUAUAUGGACACUCAUGGAGGAGUGUCUUUCAACAGUGCUCGCCUUCCUUUAUAUAGCUUCCUGUUAUGGAUUGAAUGUUUAUGUUGAAGUUCCAACCCCAAUGUGACUAUUUGCAGAUAAAGCCUGUGAGGAGGUGAUAAUGGUUAAAUAAGAUCAUAAGGGUGGGGCCCUAAUCUGUUAGUGCCAUGUCCUUAUAAGAAAAUGAAGAGAUAGAGCUUGCUCUUGCCAUCACUUGAGGACAUAGUGUAAGGCAGCUAGCCACAGGCCAGGAAAAGAGCUCUUACUAGGAACCAAAUCAGCCAGCAUCUUGAUCUUGGACUUCCCAGUAUCUAGAAGCAUGAGAAAUAAAUUGCUAUUGUUACUCCCCAUCUGUAAUACUUUGUUAUGGCAGCCCAUGUUAACUAAUAUACUUCUUAUCAGGACAAUUGUUCGGGACAGUUCUCAUCUACCCCAAGCAACCUGUUCUGGCAUCAUGAUUUGUUGUAUUCCUUCUGUGUGCUCUUCCCCCCCCCCGCCCCACUGUACAGCUUGGGGACCAAGUUACGCAUACAUGUAUACAUACUUUUUCCUUCCAUUAUUGUGUUGCAAUGUAAGUAUCUGGACAUAGUUCUCAAUGCUACACAGCAGAAUCUUACUGUAAAUCCAUUCCAAGAGUAAUAGUUUGAUCCGUUAACCCCAGGUUCCCUAUCCCUCCCUCCAUCUCCCCCCGGGCAGCCACAAGUCUAUUCUCCAAGUCUAUGAUUUUCUUUUCUGUGGAAACGUUCAAAAAAUAUGGAACGCUUGGGAGUUCCCGUCAUGGCUCAGCGGUUAAGGAAUCUGCCUAGGAAGCAUGAGGUUGCGGGUUCAAUCCCUUGCCUUGCUCAGAGGGUUAAGGAUCCGACAUUGCUGUGAGCUGUGUUGUAGGUCUCAGACUCUGCUCAGAUUAGACCCCAAGCCUGGGAACCUCCAUAUGCCUCGGGUGUGGCCUUAGAGAAAGACAAAAAAAAAAAAAAAAGAAAAAA